ensembl:lncRNA
AUUUGCUGGACAGACUGCUGCCACGCAGGCUGUCUAGGUCACUCUGUUGCUUUCUGCUCCUGUGAUGAUACCAUGGCCAAGACAAAUUAGGAGAUUAAAGGUAUAUUCCAGGUAUUCCUGAUCUCUCCAAGACAUUUCUAAUGAAGGGAUGUACAGAACCUGGAAGCAACCUAGAUGCCCCUCAACUGAAGAAUGGAUGGAGAAAAUGUGUUGCAUUUACACAAUGGAGUACUACUCAGCAGGAAAAAAAAAACAAUGGAAUCUUGAAAUUUGUAGGAAAAUGGAUGGAACUAGAAGAAACCAUCCUGAGUGAGGUAACUCAAUCAUAAAAUGACAAAAUGGUAUGUACUCCCUCAUAUAUGGAUUUUAGGCAUAGAGCAAAAGAGUACUAGCCUACAAUCCUCACUGCCAGAGAAUCUAAGAAACAAGGAAGACCCUAAGAGAGAUAUACAUGGUCUCCCAGAGAAGGGGAAAGGAACAAGAUCUCCUGAGCUAAUUGGGAGAAUGGGGGAGAGGAAACUAGAAGAAAGAGAAGAAUAGAAGUGGAGGGGAGAGGAGAACAAGAGAGGGCAGGAAGAUUUAGUCAGGGGAAGAAUGGAGGAGAGCAAGGAAAGAGAUACCAUAAUAGAGAAAGCCACUAUAGGUUUAUGGAGAAUUCUGACACUAAAGAAAUGUCCAGCGAUCUACAAGUUUGACCCAAACUAACAAUCUAAGCAAUAGUGGAGAGGCUACCUUAAAUGCCGUUCUCUGAUAAUGAGAUUGAUUACUACCUUGUAGGCCAUCCUAGAGCCUUCAUCCAGUAACUGAUGGAAGCAGAAGCAGAUACCCACAGCUAAACACUGAGCUGAAUUCUGGAAUCUUGUUGCAGAGAGAGAGGAGUGAUGAGAAAAGGUGCCACAACCAGGCUGGAGAAAUCCACAGAAACUGCUGACCUGAACACGUUGUUACUCGUGGAACCCAGACUGAUACCUGGAAAACCAGCAUAGGACUGUUCCAGACCCCCUGAAGGAGGAUGUCAGUUUGGAGGUCUGGGCAAUCUAUGGGGCCUCUCUUAGUGGAUUAGUAUUUAUCCCUAGUACAGCAAUGGACUUUUGGAGCUCACUCCACAUAGAGGGAUACUCUCUCAGCCUAGACACACUGGGGAGAGUCUAGGGCCUGCUCCAAAUGAUAUGACAGACUCUGAAGAUUCCCCCAUGGAAGGCUUCACCCUCCCUGGGGAACAGAAAGCGCUUGGGAUAAGGGGUCAGGGUAAGGGAGGAGGGGGUGAGAGGGAACUGGCAUUGACAUGUAAAAGAAGCUUGUUUCUAAUUUAAAAUUGGUCUAGUUACAAUUCUAAAAAUAAAAAUUUAAAAAAAUUAUAAACCAUUUAGAAAAGAAAAAAAUCAUGACAAGACCUUAUUCUUCAUGCUGGCAGCAUCCUACGCCAAGAACUCAUCUCAUUUCUGUGACAUUAAUCAACUCUGAAUUGACUAAUAUAUGUGGCUUCAGAUUCUUCAGAAAGAUAAUGAUAUUUAUCUACUAGGUAGUCCUAAUGGUUUUGUGCUCUGAUUUAAUUUUCCUCAUGGACUUGUUAUGGAUUUUGAAGAGUACCAGUGGCAGAAUUGAGGAGUAGAGUCAGAAACGCUGGGGAGUUCAAUCGAUCAUCACUCAUUUUUGUUUUCUCAUUCCUGGCCACAGUCUUAGUUGUUGAUAUUGGACAGCUUUUCAGUCCACAGUGACACUCUGUGGUGGUUAAGCAGACAACAGCAAAAGUUCAGGGAGCAAAAUCUCAUCUGUUCGUCUGGCAUUAGAAUUCUGGGCACCUGAUUUGAAUAAAUCAAUAUGCAAUUGUCUUUUCUAGGAAAUCAUUCUUAGUUUAUAAUGAGUAUAACACUUUGAAUGCUGUCUCACCAUCACAGUUGCUUCCACUGGGCAUUUGAUCACAGAAGAAAAUUGGCCUGGUUAUUGGGAAUGCCUGAAAGACAAACAGGUUUAUCAAAAUUUCCACCCUUUGUAAAUUCAGAAAAGAAACUGUACAUAGACACACAUUUCUGCUUUCAAUUUUAUCAUCCACCAUGGGAGCAGUAAUGUGAAAAGUGAAUGAUAAGACUGAGAAUAUAAAUGCAAUCUGAUGUAAUUUUAUUCAUAUACAUUUAAAUGUUAAUACUAGUAAUUGACUAAUUUAUUGAGAACUUUUACAUGUGCCCAUAUCAGGUAAUUAUGAAAAUCUGCUUUAACUAUUCAUGUAGGAUAUCCUUUUACAAGUCUGACUGGGAUAAAAGUAUAUAUCUUCCUAUUUGCCUCCUCAGUGCUCAGACUACAGAUGUGAGCCUCUAGGUCUAGCAUGAGUCUACUUUUCAACUGCAAAUUGUAUUAUAUUUAAAUAAGCAUUACUGAAACAGUAAAAUUUGUCAUACAAAC